rnacentral:rRNA from 1 species
GACGAACGCUGGCGGCGUGCUUAACACAUGCAAGUCGAACGAAGUGGCGACCGGGUGAGUAACGCGUCAUCAACCUGCCCUUCAGAGGGGGACAACAGUUGGAAACGACUGCUACUACCGCAUACGGAAGGAGGGGAUUGCGUCUGAUUAGCCAGUUGGAGGGGUAACGGCCCCCCAAGGCGAUGAUCAGUAGCCGGUCUUAGAGGAUGAACCGCCACAUUGGGACUGAGACACGGCCCAGACGCCUACGGGAGGCAGCAGUGGGGAAUCGUCCGCAAUGGACGAAAGUCUGACGGUGCAACGCCGCGUGAGUGAUGACGGCCUUCGGGUUGUAAAGCUCUGUUAAUCGGGACGCGGUACCGGAAUAGAAAGCCACGGCUAACUACGUGCCAGCAGCCGCGGUAAUUC